rnacentral:rRNA from 1 species
UACGGAGGGGGCUAGCGUUGUUCGGAUUUACUGGGCGUAAAGCGCACGUAGGCGGAUCGUUAAGUCGAGGGUGAAAUCCUGGAGCUCAACUCCAGAACUGCCUUCGAUACUGGCGAUCUAGAGUCCGGAAGAGGUGAGUGGAACUCCUAGUGUAGAGGUGGAAUUCGUAGAUAUUAGGAAGAACACCAGUGGCGAAGGCGGCUCACUGGUCCGGUACUGACGCUGAUGUGCGAAAGCGUGGGGAGCAAACAGG